UCUGUUCCUACGCCCUUAAGGACAGUUUCCCAGGGGAUCCCAGCCAGCAGUUCCUUGAGCAGCCGUUGCUAUGGUUCUCCUUCACUGUGGAAGGAGAACCAUAGCAAUGGCAGAGGACAGAGCUAGCAGUCAAGGGCUCAAGUCAAAAGAGGAUGAACUAAGGGAGAAGAGCACCAACUACUGACGGAGUUAAAAUCCACCAGUCCCCCUGAUAGCAAAGAACAAAUCACAGGACUUUGCUCUCUGGUGAAGGAGAAGGCCAUGACAGCAGGAUGAACAUGGAUUGAUCUACAACCUAUCAGUCUGGUCUGGGGGCAGCCAGCCACAGGAACAGACAGUGCAGCUGGGAUAAGGAGCACUUGUAUUUCAUCUGCACUAGGACAACACCUCUGGGCAGGGGCACCAAUAAAGCUGUGCUGGCUGCAAACACAGAGUACAUCUACAAGCUGCACUACACAGCACUUGUUUAUAUCAGUUCAAAUAAAUAAGAGUUGUGCUUGAAAUAAGACAACUUUUUGUUUUUGCUUGUUUUAGCAAGGACAAUUAUGAAAAAUAACUACAGCA